GUAAGAAAUGAUUUAGUGAUGGAUCAGUGAAUGGUACAAAGUUUGUGUGCAAUCUUUCAGCCUUUAUCAUGGCUAACACCAGCAGUGUGUAACUAGAAAGUCAAUGUCAUGAUGACUAAAAGCAGCUGGUCUUUGUAGGAGUAAUUUGUGUGACCCUGUAUAAUAUUAAGCCCCUGUAUAAAGCUGAAUAAGUGAUUGGCAUUCCUGGUUCUGUAGUGUACUGAGUAAUAUAACCUUGUUGACACCAGUGGAUGUUGCAGGAAAAACUAAUUCUGAAAUGCAAAGGUUGGGUGCAAGUCAAGAACUCAAAGAGCAGUCUUAGUGCAGCAUUUUUAAUUGCAUUUUAAAAAGUAAGACAAGCUAUGACAGCUGCCUACAAAUCGCUUUCUGGCUGAAGGGCCUCACUGGCAUUAUUUGUAAAAUGUCCUUGUAAUCUGCACUGUGACUUUUGUAAAUUUCCCCUCUGUGGCGUCGCUUUGGGGGAACAGUGUUUUGGAGGAAUGUCAGAUGUCUUUCAGUCAAGACCUUCAUUCUAAUAUGGAAAGCAGGGGAAGGCUUCAGACAGUGUGUUAAAUUAUAAAAUCUAACACCUUUAGACAAAUAAGGGUGAUUUUUGUUGUGCAUUUAAUAAAUCUCUGACACUGCUGCUUGGGCUUUGUCUGAUUAAAGUUCUUAUCUCUGUAUUUACAGCCCUUACCAUCAUUAAUUUUUAAAUAUGAAACGAGGGCCCAAAUGUAAAAACCAUGCAAGUAGCUCCUUUAACUUCAGUAGGAUGACUUGUCAGAGUAACAGGUUUCAGAGUAACAGCCGUGUUAGUCUGAGAGAGUUGCAGGUUUGGACUAUUUAGUUAGUGGAGAGUCUGAAGAGGAAAAUACUUGCCAAAAAUGGGUUUGUUUGUCUCUUAGCUAUGUCGAUACAAUAUUCAAAUCUAUACUGUGUAGGUCAUAUUUAA